CGUCUACAAACCGGAAAAUCAAUUUCUGACGAACUACCAAAAGCCAUAGAAGAGUCUAAAUUUGCUAUAGUGAUAUUUUCUGAAAGCUAUGCAUCGUCAAAAUGGUGUUUAGAUGAGCUUGCACACAUUAUGAAAUGUCAAAAGGAAUUGAAACAAAUUGUAAUUCCUAUUUUCUAUAAUGUGGAUCCAUCAGAUGUGCGUCAUCAAACUCAAACUUUUGCUGAGUCUUUUUCCCAACAUGAGGAAAAAUACAAAGACGAUAUCGAGAAGAUUCAAAGAUGGAGGGAAGCAUUUGAGGAGUCUGGGAAAAUAUCAGGGUAUCAUUUGCAAAAUUACAAGUAAGAUUACUUCUCUUUGUCUUUUUAACUGUCAAGUCAAACGUGCCAUAUAAAUUGAGUCAAAGAGAAUAUUUAAUUUGAUUUCUAAAGUUCGAUCUAAAUAGUUGUUCUUUUCAUUGUUACAUUUAGGGAUGAGGCAGAUUGCAUCAAAAAGGUUGUUGAAAGACUAAUGUCAGCAUUACAUAUUGAAUCUGAUGACGAUGAUGAUGAUGUCCGUGCCUUCAUACGGGGCAUGGACAAUAACUCUCCAAUUCUUAUCGAUGGAGGCAAAAUGGUAUUAUUUCGUUUAUAAUUUGAAUCCUCGUAGUGAAAUUUGAUAGAUAUCUAUCUUAUCACGUCCAUUAAGUACCUAGUUGCUAGUUUCAAAAUUGUGUGUUAGUUGACCCUUGAAAAUAUUGUUUCAAUUAUCAAUACAAAAUCCUAUUUAGUAAGUAAUAUAAUGAUCAAUAGUCUUUAAAAUACCAAAUAUUAUGUAUACAUGUUUUUUUAUAAAUGAUUAAUUCACACUUGACAUAUGUCCACAACUAAAUUUACAUAUUCAAUUAUAGUUUUAUUCUUUUAUUGCGUUAGUUUCGUAAAUACUAGAAUUUAGAUUAAUAAAUAACUAAUUGUUAAUGAAAAGGACCAAUGUCUAUGUGUACCGUGCUAUGUGUAUGAGUGGAACUGUGAAAGUCAUGUCAAGUGGGCAGGGUCAGUCCAUGACCGAUCCAACCCGACCUGAUAAGAAAGGGCGAGUGAUCACUAGCCUGCCCCAUUCAUAAGGGUUGUUGGGUGGUCAGGGUCCAGGCGCAGGCCACCUACUAGCUUGGCCCAUUCAUUAGGAUUGUUGAGUGGUCUCUAUAGGACCUUUUUCGAUUUGUUUUCUAAUUUAUGAUGUCCUAUGUUUGUGAUUUGUCUUGUCAAUCAGAGUUUUUCGUUAGAUAAGAAGAGGAAGAAAUGUUUUAUGAUAGCAGCAAGGGGACUUGAUAUUGAAUGGAGUGAUAAACCAAAGUAUUGGAAAUGGUUAUCUCACUCUGACUCCAGGUUUUAUAUAUUCGCAGUCCCUUUCCAUAUUUUAGUAUAAAAAUUGAAAUAAAUCAGUAAUAAUUAUUGAGCAAGGUUAAUUUUUAUUUUUUUAGAUUCGCGGAAGUGGCUAAACUCAAGAAGGUCUAUUGGCUUGAAAUUCAAGGCAAAAUUGAUUCUCGAAGACUAUCAAAAAGAACUAAAUAUGUUGUGUAUCUAGUGUUCAAAUUGGAAAAUCAAUUCUAUGGCCUUGAAACUGUUAAUGCAGUUGUAAGAUUUGUUGAUUCUAUGAGUAAAAAAGAUGCGGAGAAACGAGCUAGUGUUGUGCAUUUUGCAGGACGAGGACCUAGAGAAACGCUACCCUUCGAAAGAGCUGAUGGAUGGAUGGAAUUAAAAAUGGGAGACUUUUUCAAUGAUGCAGGAGAAGACGGAUAUGUUGAUGCGCGAUUAAUGGAAACUAAGAAACUCGAUGAAAAAAGUGGCCUCAUUGUUCAAGGAGUGGAGUUUCGUCCCGAAUGAAGAAGAGAAGAAUCCUCCUCUUACUAUCCCCUUUUGUUUUGGUCUCAUUUUGAUAGAUUCAAGUACUUCUAUAUAUAUAUGGCCCUUCUAGAGGAACGUACUGAUAGAGAAAAUAAAAUUUGAUUAGACAAUGUGUGUUUGUAGUAAGGUCGAUUUUUUAAACAUUUUAAUAUGAGUCUACAAGAUUUAGUUUCGUUCAAGUGUCGAGCUUAUUUGCAUCGACAUCUAGCUAGUUUAACAAAAUUCAUGUACUUUGGUUAUUUGUGUUUGUGUUCGAUCCUUGGUUAAAAUGACGCACUGGAAUUUUUUUACAGUCCAAAAGUGGCGCUACAUUUUUGUUUUAGAAGAGAACAUAAUAACAUUAUGAGUAUCUAUUUCUUCCCAAGUAACUUAAAACAAAUCAAAGCUUAAAUACUAUGAUCUUUAAUUUCCAUCUCAAAUUAUAUCUCAUGAUUUUUUAAAAAUAACUAUCUCAAGUUUUUUGUCAUUUUAGGAGUUCAAGAUAAAAUUAAUUAUUAUUUUCAUAUAUACAUAAGCAGAGAAAAUAUUUAAUUUAAAGAGAUUAUAUAAAUAAGUAGAGAAAUUUUAUCUGAUGCCGUAGGCUGGCAAUUAACCUCUAUAUUAUACAUGGGAGGGUGCCCGCCUAGUGUCAUUGUGCAUGUAUUAGAUCUCGCACAAGUAAUGUCAUAUUUUAUGACUUGAAAUAGGAAGAUGAUAAGAAGUUCUCAUAAAGACUAUGAAUAGUCUUUACGAUGCUUUUAUGAGUUUUAGAGGUGAAGAUAUGCGUAGAACAAUAGUUUUUAGAUUCAAACGAUAAGAACUUUGACUAACAUUUACGAUGUAUUUUUUAUCAUAUUGAUAUGCAAAAAAUUGCAAUUUAUAGUACUUUUCGUAUAGUUUUUGAAUAUCUAAAUUUUUAGUUUAAAAUAUUGAAUUAAUAUUGUAAUGACCCUCCUGGUCAUUUCUAUAUCUUGCCUUUUGUGUGUCGUUCAGAGCGUUCCUGUAGCGACCCCAAGUCAUUUAUGACUUGCUGGGACUGACAGUUCGGUCACCUGGUCGUUCGUUUGGUUAUGGUGUGAGUUUUCGUGUUUUGGAGCUUAUGAACCUUGAACGAUCAUUUUCGAUCAAAAGUUUGAGAAGAUGACACUGGAAUCCAAUUCUGACGAUUCCAUCAGCUCCGGAAGGGUCAUUUUAGGCGAGUAGCAUGGUCGACAUGACUCUCGAGGUUUUCAGUGUGAGUCGGUGCGAUUAGGCGUUUUAACUUUAAGUUUAAGCCUAAGUUUGACUUUGGUCAACAUUCUGAGUAAACGCGCUCGGAUGAGAAUUCCGUCAGCGUGGUUAGCUCCGGAAUGUCGAGUUUGGUCUGGGGACUCCAAAUCACUAUCCGAGCUCACCAACACGUUGUCCUCGAAAAAUCUCACAACUUAGCCUUUUGGAUCGCCCAAAUCGGUUGAGAGAUGAGAGAAUUAUGAGGGUUUGAAAUUUGGGAAAUGUUGCUGAUUUUCUGCAAUUUAUUGCAGAAAAUCAGCCACAUUUCCCAAACUUCAAACCCUCACAACUCUCUCAUUUAAAGUCCAAAUUCAGUGAUUCAAAGGAUCAUUUUGUGAGGUUUUUCGCAAGGAACGUGUUGGUGAGCUCGGAUAGUGAUUUGGGGUCCCAGUUUGAGGUAAUUUUCGUAAAAUACCUGCUGCCACGACCUUUUUUAUGAGCUUAAUUUUGGAAAAUUUUGAGACUUGUUUUCUUAGCCAUUCUAGGUCCGAUUUCAAUGAUUUUUGAGGCUAUCUUGAGUGGUUUUUUGAGGAGAACGUCGUGGUGUUGUCACAUUUCACUGUAGACCUCCAGUUUCUGGUAAUAUACUGAUUCAUCUACUGUCUCAUUUCUAGUUUUUGAGAAAAUUUGGGUUUUGGUUGCAUGUUGAUAUUGUGUUGUUCCCGAGUCCCGAAUUGUGUCCCAUUUUGGGACAUGAGCUGGGGGAACUGGUUAGGACCCACUUUUGGGGUUAAUUCCGGAAUUUCCAGUGCGGGUCCCACUUUCCCCGUUUUGACCCUGAAAUUGGUCCGUCUCCAUUUAUUGUGAUUUCAGUGUCUAAAUGACCGUAAUAAUGUUGUGACACUAUUUUUGAUAGCGGGGCAGCGUUACAUGGACGUUCGAAAAGGGAAAGCUCCAGAGAAGUGAUUUUGGAGAACGUAUGAUCGACCUACAGGUAGGCUACGGUUUCCCUUUCUUAGAUUGAGCUUGAGAGUGUGAAUGCAUGUUGAUUAGUUGGGAUUUGGGUUGGUAGUGAUUGAAUCAUGCAUAGGUGUUUAGAAAUCAUGUUUUCGGCCUAUUUUGGGAAUUAUUGGAUAGCUGUGAGCAUGCUUUGUGUUAUUAAUUGUCUCUCUUUUCUAUGUGGAGUACUUGUAUGCUCGAUGACUAUUUGUUGAAGCAUUUGGGCCGUAGUUUAGGUUUGACUAGGGUUUGCCUUAGAAAUACAUGAUUCAGAUCCGAUAAGCCUUAGUUUUGCCCCGACGCCACUCGAUCGACUUAGAUCCCUGUAGACUGGUGUAGUAGACUUGAGUCUGAUAGUUUGGGCAUUAGCUAGGCGAUACGUUUGCUCCGAUGAUAGUUAUCCUUAUUUCCCCGAUGUUACAGCUUCAAGAGUUACGUCGGUGACACUAGUUCUGCUUAGCGAUUUGAAUUUGAUUUUCGAUUCGAUUUCCAAGGACUUACAUUGAUUGGCUAGGUGUGGACAGCGAUCCACGGACAUUUAUGAGAAUAGAUCGAUUGGGACUCUUUCAGCAACUACAUUGGCACCUCUAUAAAGCAUCCGGUUAAAGUUCCGGCCUCUAUUGCCCAGAUACUUAUAUAUAGCAUCCGGUUAGAGUUCUGGCCUCUAUUGCCCAGAUACUUAUAUAGAGCAUCCGGUUAUAGUUCCGGCCUCAGAUACUUGAUACUUGUGAUUAGUUAGUUGGGUACUUCUGGUGAGCAUCCGGUUCGAGGUCCGGCCUCCGUACUGUUAUAUUUUACUAAUUAGGGUUGAGGUUCUGCUUCGAUGUUCUCCGUUCUUGGGUUCUUAUAUGCAAUUCCCUUUAGUUAUAGUUGUUCUGUGUACUCGUCGGGCUUAUGGGGGUCCGUUCGGGUUUUUAUUUAACUUGCGCACGAGUGUACCUUCUGGGCUUAUGGGGGUCCAGUUAGGAUAGUUAGCUUAUAUAUUACUUUAGUUAGUUCUUUCUACACUCGUGUGCAUUCCAAUUUUAGUUAGAUUUCCGUUCUUGACCUCUGUUUGUGUUAUUCCUUCUUUUCAUACUGUCUUUACUUUUCAAGUUCAGUCGGCCUAUGAUGCCUACUGGGUACCUGUUGUUUUGGUACUCAUGCUACGCUCUGCAUCUGUUUUGUGAUGCAGGUUCGGGCACUAGUAGCCAGCGUUGAUCGAGCUUAGAGCAGACUGAUCCGGAGACGGGAGUGAGCACACGGUCGUUUUGUACUAUUUCAGUCUCUAUCUGUAUAUAUAGACUUGUCUUUUACCUUCCGAGACAGUCCAAUCUCUGUUGUCCACUUUUGGGACUUGUACUCAUUUUGUAGUAGCUCUGUACUGUGACUUCCAGGUUCUGGAGGUAAUCUUUAUUUGUAUAUAUGUUUUGGUUUGCUUCUGCCUGUUUAUAUUGUUAUUUGCCUACUCUUGUUUAGUUUCUACCCUCAGACCCAUUACUUGUUGUUCCGGGUUACGGGCUGGCUUACCUGCUGGUGGGUUAUAGUAGGUGCCAUCAUGACUUGAGAAAUCAGGUCGUGACAAAUAUAAUCUAAUUUAACUUUGAAAAUUAGUCAAAUUAACUUUCGAAAAACGUAAUAUUACAACGAAAAAGGAACGGAGGGAGUAUCAAACAUAUGGUAUUACUUAAUUGUGCGAGAUCUAAUAUACGACGACGUACACUUAGAGGUCGUUUGAUAGGGUGUAUAAAAGUAAUGUUAAAUAGAGUGUAUUAGUUAUGCUUGUAUGCACUAUACAUAAAUUAUUUUUUAUUCAUUGUUUGGUUUGGUGUACAAAAAAUAACAUGAAUUGCAUAAAAAAUAUUUAUUUAUAAAAAUAUCCUCCACAAUUAGGAUGGAAAAGAUGUAAAAAGGAGUUUUGAGGGGUAAUUGAGUUUUUAACCAUACUAAUGCAUGUAUUGAAUCUCUUUGUGUUACUAAUACCUAAAAAUCAAUGAUAUUAGUAAUACAUUCUUUCAUACACAAUAAAGUGUAUAACUAAUGCGUGCAGAUAAGAUACUACUAAUACACAAAGUUAAUGCGUGCAUUAUUUUUGCUAAUACACUUUGCCGACACCACAAGACUUUUGUUGGCUAAGUCAAAAGUCUUCUUAGCUGUAUUUUGUACGACCUCAUUAAUGUAGGUUACAUUUUCAUGACUUUGAAAUUGAAACAUGAUAAGAACAUAAAGACUAUGAAUAAAUAGUGAAAAGAAUUGGUGAAGUGUUGUUCUUCAUUAAGUUGAGAAUUUCCCUAUUAGUUUUUGGCAAUUGUAUAACUAAUAUUCUUCAACAAUGUCACACACUUCUUCUUCCAAAAUUCAAAAGUACGAUGCUUUUCUGAGUUUUAGAGGUGUAGAUAUACGUAGAACAUUUGUGAGUCAUCUCUAUAACGCUUUAAUACAAGGAAGAAUUAAUGUUUUCAAAGACGAUGAACGUCUGGAAACUGGAAAAUCAAUUUCUGAUGAACUACCAAAAGCCAUAGAAGAGUCUAAAUUUGCUAUAGUGAUAUUUUCUGAAAGUUAUGCAUCGUCAAAAUGGUGUUUAGACGAGCUUGCACACAUCAUAAAGUGUCGAAAGGAAUUCGACCUAAUCGUAAUUCCUAUUUUCUAUAAUGUGGAUCCAUCAGAUGUGCGUCAUCAAACUCAAACUUUUGCUGAGUCUUUUUCCAAACAUGAGGAAAAAUAUAAAGAUGACAUGGAGAAAAUUCAAAGAUGGAGGGAUGCUUUUGCGGAAUCUGGGAAAAUAUCGGGGUACCAUUUGCAAAAUUACAGGUAAGAUUACUUUUCCUUUUCUUAUUACUCUCUGACAGUUCCAAUUUAAGUCUCUUAAUUUGACUGGAAAUGAAGUUAAAGAAAAUAAAGAGAUUUUUUUAUCUUAAACAAAGAAUAUAGAAAAAAGGCACUCUCUUGUGGACAAAUCAAAAAGGAAAGUAAAGACACUUAGCUUCCAUAUGGACAUGAAAUCCCAAAUUAUAUAUUAUUUCUUUUAGAAAAUUUGAAAUUUCAUAUCAUGAAUCAAAAUUGCAUGUGCAAACACAAAUUUGAAAUAAUGAUUUCAUAUCAAAUAUCCAUAUAUAAGCAUAAACUGAGUCAAAGGGAGUAGUAUUUUUUUAGCUUUGCCCUCAUGGGUAAUUCAAGAAACAUAGUGUCUUUAUGGUUGUGCAAGAAUAAUUAUAAGCAAUAAAAUAAGGCAUAGAAUAUAAUAAAAGAGAGCAUACACUAGGGUGCGAACUCUAAUCUUAUAUUCUCAUUGUUUCAAUUUAUGUGACAAAUUUUCUUUUUAGUUCAUUCAAUAAAAAGAAUAUUACAUUUCUAUAAUCAUAUUAGAUUAGAAAUAAGGAUAUUCGUAAUAAAAGAGAGUGACCUCCAUGGAGGACAAGAUGAAGGAAGCAAGACCGAGAUGGUUUGGACAUGCAUAUGAAAAGGAGAUGCACAGAUGCACCAGUGAGGAAGUGCAAGAGGUUGGUUAUACAAGGUACGAGGAGAGGCAGAAAUAGGCCAAAAAAGUAUUGAAGAGAGGUGAUAAGAUAGGAUAUGACCCAUCUUCAGGUUACUGAGGACAUAACCCUAGACAGUGGCGGAUCCAGGAUUUAGACUCCGUGGGUGCCAAAUAGACUUAUCGAUUAAAUUAAUUUUAUAUUUGAUUAAAUUAUUCGUCUUUUCGAUAUAAAUUAAUUUUAGUUCUCUAAUUUUUCUUAAAAGAACGUGUGCAACAAUUUCCUUUUUCUUAAAAAAACGUCUUUCUCAAAAAAAGGUACAAAUGGGAUUCGAACCCGCAACAUCAGCCUUCUAAAGUUGCCCUCCUACCGUGGCACCACAAGCCAAUUUUGUUCUGUGGGUGGCACGCUUUAUAUAAAUAUAAAUAUUAUAUAAAUAUACCUAUGUAUAUAUAGAGUUUCCGUCGAAGUUCGGGGGUGGCGUGGCACCCCCACACUCCUUAAUAGAUCUGCCUCUGACCCUAGAUAAGAGGAUGUGGAGGACACGUAACUCAUAAGUGCAAUAUGAAAGUAUAUAAACAGAGAAAGUACUGCAACAUUACACAAUAGUGUUGGGUUCAUAACAGUUGGUGUUUGUCAUUGUCAUUAUACUAGUAUUAAUUAUUGUAGUUCUUGUUUUUGUUAUUUUGAUUAAUAUCGCACUAUUUUGUUGUUACUUGUUAUAUUUUCAUCAUUGUCUCUGUUUUCUUUGUAUCUGCAUUUGUUGCACUUGAGCCAAACAUCUAUUGAAAAUAGCAUCUCUAUUUCCACGAGGUAGUGGUAAGGACUAUGUACAUUCUACCCUUCCCAAACGCCACUUGUGGGAUUUCACCGCGUAUGUUGUUGUUGUUAACUUUAAAAUUUCUCUUUUACCCUUAAAUAAUAUGAUUUACAAUCACAUAAAUGUUUAAGGUUCGUUUAAAACCACAAAUUUCACUAGGUAUUUUCUUUCUUUAACUUUGUUUCAUGUCAAACAAUGUCACAUAAUAAAUUGAGACGAAGAGAGUAUUUGAUUUCUAAUGUUUGAACUAUUUUCAUUGUUAACAUUUAGGGAUGAGGCAGAUUGCAUCAAAAAGGUUGUUGACAAAUUAAUGUCAUUAUUACAUAUUGAAUCUGAUGACCAUUACAACGACGAUGUUUUAAAGGGCCCUAAAUCUCCAAUUCUUAUUGAUGGAGGCAAAAUGGUAUUGUUUCUUUUAUAAUUUGAAUCCUUUUAGUGAAAUUCGAUAUAUAUAAUUUAUUUUGUUAUUUUCGUGAAUAUUAGAAUUGAUUUGUCAUUUAUUCGAUAUGUUUUCUAGUUUCUGAUGUUUCAUGUUUGUGAUUUGAUCUGUCGAAUAGAGUUUUUCGCUGGAUAAAAAGACGGGGAAGAAAUGUUUUAUGGUAGCAGCAAGGGGACUUGAAAUUGAAUGGGGUGGUACACCAGAGUAUUGGGAAUGGUUAUCUCAUGUGGACUCAAGGUUUUAUAUAUUUGUGAUUCCUUUUUAUUACUAGAAUAAAUUUUGAAAGGAUCUGAACUAUUACUACAUGCCUAUAAUUAUUGAGCAAUGUGAAUUUUUUUUUUAGUUUCGCGGAAGUGGCUAAACUCAAGAGGGUUUGUUGGCUUGAUAUUCGAGGCAAAAUUGAAACUCGAAGACUGUCGAAAAGAACCAAAUAUGUUGUUUAUCUAGUGUUCAAAUUGGAAAAUAAAUGGCAUGGCCUUGAAACUGCUAAUGCAGUCGUUAGAUUUGUUGAUUCUGUGAGUGACAUUGACGCAGAGCAACGAGCUAGUGUUGUACAUUUUGCAGGACAAGGACCUAAAGAGACGCUACCCUUUAGAAGAGGUGAUGGAUGGAUGGAAUUAAAAAUGGGAGAUUUUUUCAAUGAUGCAGGAGAAGACGGAGAUGUAGAUGCACGAUUAAUGGAGACUAAACAUCUCGGUGAUAAAAGUGGCCUCAUUGUUCAAGGAAUGGAGUUUCGUCCCGAAUGAAGAAGAGAAGAAUCCUUCUCUUACUAUGACCUUUUGUUCAAUUAGUACUUUUAUAUAUGGCCUUUCUAAAGGAACGUAUUGAUCGAGAUGAUUGAAUUUGAUUAGAAAAUGCGCGUAAGUGGAAGAAGAAAGCUGAGGAGGCAGUUGCAGAACGCGGUUCGUCAGACAAAAAUAUGAAAGCAUUUGUGGAUGAACUGAAAAAAAUCCAUGCCAAGAAACAAGUAGAAAAUGUCUAGUUUUGUUUAACUACAUUCAUUUCAAGUGUAUAAUUCAAUCUAUGGGAUGUAAAUCGAGUAUGUUGUUGUUGUUUUUCUGCUUUCUAUAGCACGUUUCUACUAUUUGUUUAUAUAGCAUGUGAACUCUAACAAAUGGAAAGUGCCUGUUUCAAGAAAGCGGUCGUUCACGUCAAGAAUAGAGGUCUGUACUUUCUUUUCCUUUUGUUCAUCUAGAUUGUGUUGGUGUUCAAUGUACCACUUGUCUAGUCUGAUCUAUGCGAUCCUACAUAGAGUACAAGAUCGAAAAGAAUGCAUUGAAUGGAUGUCUGGUUAUAUGUUUGAAUAUAAAAUUAUAUGGAUAAGCAUCUCUUUAAAUUAGAAAUAAACAACAUCUAGUAGCUCUUAGGCAUAAGAUGUUCCUCAUCAGCUGACACAAAAGAUUUUCAAGGAAACAUACUUAUCUAGACGAGGUCAAUGGUCGAUCAAAAAGGCUCAACGACCUAGGCUAGUGACCUUCAUUGCACUUUGAAGGAGCAUCCAACUAAAGUAUGCCCAAGUGGUCGAGUCUAUAUCAUAAUUUGUGGUCAAGUUUUAUAAAAUUAAAUAAGUAGACAUAUAUACGCGUUCUACGUGACAAUCUACGUCGUAUGUGGCAUCUUACGUACAUCAUGUCGCGUGGGAUGCAUGUGUCUACUUUUUCAACUUCAUACAAGUUUUAAGUACCUACUUGUGCACUUCCAAAAUUGAAGAAUAUAAAUAUCAGCUAAGAUCAAGUUAAAAGACAUGCUUAUGUAUUAUAUUAAUAUUAUAUCUACAAAUAAUACAAUACAAUAAAAAAAAAAUAAUUAAAGUCAAUGAUCCAAAUAGAGUUUGUUUAGAAGUAACUACUUAUGAUUGUGACAUAACUAAAACUAUCUGAUCAAGUUGGCGAAAAGUUAAAUUAAUAAUCAAUUAACUAAAAGACCGAAUCAAAUUGAGUGACAAAAAGUCAAAUAAACCGACUUUUAAUAUGAAUAUUUUUACCUAUUGUUUCGUAAUGUAUGAUAAUGAAUUGUAUUAUUUUAAGCCAAGUCAUGCAUAAGAUAAGUAUAAAAAAAAUCAAAAUUAAUACAUAUUGUAUUUUCUUUAGUACUUUUUACCUAACGACCCUUGAAGUUGUUGAAAAUUUGGAAGACUUGAUGCUGCAGAGCCAAUAAUCCCGAGGUAAUAAAGUCUUUUAAGAUUGAAGCGAAGUUUGUUUGGUAGCUAAUUAGAGUUAUACAAGUAUUAGUUAUAUAUGAAUAAGUUAGGAGAGAAUCUAUAUAUUAUUUUAUACAAAGUAUAGUUAUUCAUGAAUCAUAUAUUGAUUAUUAAUAUUGUGCUUUUUCCACAUUCUAAAAACCCUACAUAAAAUAAUACAUACGUUUCCUCAUAACUUAUGCAUUUAUUAAUUAUGCAGAUUUUCAAAUUUUAAAUCAAAUAGUAUCAUAGUAACCUAAGAUCUAAUACACGCGUAACGACACUUAUGACUUUUCUUCACCUUCUUGGCAAGGGAUAAGUCAAAAGUCUUCUUAAAUUACUUGUUUUUAGUACGUACUCUUUAUUUUCUCUCAUUAAUUUUUUUGAAAAAAAAAGUAGGGUACAUUUUUUAUGAUUUCAAUGAGGAACAUGAUAAGAAGUUACCAUAAAGACUAUGAAUAAAUAGUGAAAAAAGGUGGUGUCUUGUUCUUCAUUAAGUCUUUAGCAAUUAUAACUUAUAUUCAUCAACAAUAAUGUCACACACUUUUUCUUCUGAAAUUCACAAGUACGAUGCAUUUCUGAGUUUUAGAGGUGAAGAUACACGAAAAACAUUCGUGAGUCAUCUCUAUAACGCUUUAAUACAAGGAAGAAUUGAUGUUUUCAAAGACGAUGAGCGUCUAGAAACCGGAAAUUCAAUUUCUGAUGAACUGCCAAAAGCCAUAGAAGAGUCUAAAUUUGCUAUAGUGAUAUUUUCUGAAAGCUAUGCAUCGUCAAAAUGGUGUUUAGACGAGCUUGCACACAUCAUAAAGUGUCGAAAGGAAUUGAAACAAAUCGUAAUUCCUAUUUUCUAUAAUGUGGAUCCAUCAGAUGUGCGUCAUCAAACUCAAACUUUUGCUGAGUCUUUUUCCCAACAUGAGGAAAAAUACAAAGACGAUAUGGAGA
rnacentral:lncRNA from 1 species